rnacentral:rRNA from 1 species
CUACACAUGGCAAGUCGAACGGUAACAGGGAAACAGCUUGCUGUUUCGCUGACGAGUGGCGGACGGGUGAGUAAUGUCUGGGAAACUGCCUGAUGGAGGGGGAUAACUACUGGAAACGGUAGCUAAUACCGCAUAACGUCGCAAGACCAAAGAGGGGGACCCUCGGGCCUCUUGCCAUCGGAUGUGCCCAGAUGGGAUUAGCUUGUUGGUGGGGUAACGGCUCACCAAGGCGACGAUCCCUAGCUGGUCUGAGAGGAUGACCAGCCACACUGGAACUGAGACACGGUCCAGACUCCUACGGGAGGCAGCAGUGGGGAAUAUUGCACAAUGGGCGCAAGCCUGAUGCAGCCAUGCCGCGUGUAUGAAGAAGGCCUUCGGGUUGUAAAGUACUUUC